rnacentral:rRNA from 1 species
UGAAUACGAGACGCUAAGGCGUCGAAGUAGUGUAUGUCAUACUUCCAAGAAAAGCUUGCACUGUCAUAGAUAAAAAACGCCUGUACCAUAACCGACACAGGUGGGUAGGUAGAGUAUACUAAGGGGCGCGAGAUAACUCUCUCUAAGGAACUCGGCAAAAUAACUCCGUAACUUCGGGAGAAGGAGUGCCUUAUUCUUAAGGUUGCAAUAACAAGAUCCAAGCAACUGUUUAUCAAAAACACAGGUCUCCGCUAAGUCGUAAGACGAUGUAUGGGGGCUGACGCCUGCCCAGUGCCAGAAGGUUAAAGAAGCUGGUUAGCAUUUGCGAAGCUAGUAACUGAAGCCCUGGUGAACGGCGGCCGUAACAAUAACGGUCCUAAGGUAGCGAAAUUCCUUGUCGGGUAAGUUCCGACCCGCACGAAAGGCGUAAUGAUUUGGAUACUGUCUCGGAGAGGGGCUCGGUGAAAUAGACUUGUCUGUGAAGAUGCGGACUACCUGCACCAGGACAGAAAGACCCUAUGAAGCUUUACUGUAACUUGAAAUUGAAAUUGGACUUUAUUCGCGCAGUAUAGGUGGGAGGCGUUGAUUAUAAUCUUGCGGGAUUAUUGGAGCCAUUAGUGAGAUACCACUCUUGUAAUGUUAGAUUUCUAACUUUGAAUCAUUAUCUGGUCAAAGAACAGUUUCAGGCGGGCAGUUUGACUGGGGCGGUCGCCUCCUAAACGGUAACGGAGGCGUACAAAGGUUUCCUCUGAACGGUUAGAAAUCGUAUCUAGAGUGUAAAGGCAUAAGGAAGCUUGACUGUGAGACCUACAAGUCGAGCAGGGACGAAAGUCGGUCUUAGUGAUCUGACGGUACUGAGUGGAAAGGCCGUCACUCAACGGAUAAAAGUUACUCUAGGAUAACAGGCUGAUCUCCCCCAAGAGUUCACAUCGACGGGGAGGUUUGGCACCUCGAUGUCGGCUCAUCGCAUCCUGGGGCGGUAGUACGUCCCAAGGGUUGGGCUGUUCGCCAUGAAAGCGGUACGCGAGCUGGGUUCAGAACGUCGUGAGACAGUUCGGUCCACAUCCGGUGUAGGCGUUAGAAUAUUGAGAGGAGCCUUCUUUAGUACGAGAGGACCGAGAAGGACAUACCUCUGGUGUACCAGUUAUCGUGCCAACGGUAAACGCUGGGUAGCUAUGUAUGGAGUGGAUAACCGCUGAAAGCAUCUAAGUGGGAAGCCCACCUCAAGAUAAGUAUUCUCAC